GGUGUCGUGGUGUAGUUGGUUAUGAAGUCAGUCUGUCUUACACACUGAAGUUCUACGGUUCAAGUCCGGGCGACGCCA
rfam:Nicotiana attenuata strain TT chromosome 1, whole genome shotgun sequence.